rnacentral:rRNA from 1 species
UCUUAUGUACAUGCCUACAAUGUUAAUUCAGUGGAUCCUAUCAAAACUCCAUAGUUAAGAUCACUUGGGAUAGAUUGGUACUGGGAUGGGUGACCUCUCGAGAAGUCAUGGUGUUUUACAU